UAAAUCAGGUUAUCUUUGGUCAUGUAGUACAUGUGACACAUGAUUCCAAAGGCUGUUGGGCACAAUGUGCUCAGCUGGAAAGCCCAUUAUAUCAUCUUUCCAUAAAAAGCAGGGGUCCUUCUGGGGUGCCUAGGUGGCUCAGUCAGUUGAGCAUCGGCCUUCGGCUCAGGUCAUGAUCUCAGGGUCCUGGGAUCUCAGUGUCCUGGGAUCGAGCCCUGAGUCGGGCUCUUUGCUCAAUGGGGAGCCUGCUUCUCCCUCUCUCUCUGCCUGCCUCUCUGACUACUUGUGAUCUGUCUGUCAAAUAAAUAAAUAAAAUCUUAUAAAAGAAAAAAAGAGUAUGGUAGGUAGGAGAGGUGAAUAAAUUUAAGUGUGUUCGAAACCAGUGCUUCCCAAACUUUCUUGUCAUUCACCUGCAGGUCUUGUUGAAAUGCAGACUCUGCUCCAGUAGGUCAGUGGCGGUGGGGGGAGGUGGGGGAGCAUGCUGGGUUGGGAGGCGCCUCAGCGUCAUCUUCCCAGAGGUCUCUCAAGCCCCUGGGUGGGAUGCAAUGCUGCUAGUUCACCAACCACCCUCAGAAGAGCAAGCAAGGGAUACCCCCACUGUGAUGUGAACGGGUCACCGGAGUUUCUAGAACUCUUAAAAGGCCUAUGUGGGAGGCCACCCAAUUUGGGGUUUUGAGUAGCUUGCCCUGAAUUCAACCUUUGACUCCCUUUCUUGGUCAGUCCCUUAGGAGAUCACGAUGACCUUGCAUCUUGUCUGGAAACCUCCCCUGGUGGCUUUGCUAUGGUUUUUGAGAACAAAGCAGGGUCUCGAGAAGGAAAAUGUUCCAAGAUUCAUUGUUUAUGCAACACAUCCAGUGUUCCAUGCAAUACGUGCCCUCCUUAAUACCCACCACCAGGCUUUCCCAACACCCCUCCCCAAAACCCUCAGUUUGUUUCUCAGAGUCCACAGUCUCUCAUGGUUCGUCUCCCCCUCUGAUUUNNNNNNNNNNNNNNNNNNNNAAUAAAUAAAUAAUUUAAAAAAAAAGGCAAGGGUCCUUUCUUCCUGCCUCGAAUUACUUCACAAGCAUUUCAGAAACAAUUCUAUCCAUGAAUCCCAGAGAAAGUCUCUCAAAGUCUGAGUAAAAUGGGUCCCCAUGAUUGUUUUUCCAGACCUCAGUGAGUACCACUUGAUAUUCAUUCCUCUCUCCUUUAGAAAUCCACCAUUCUAUGCACUUCUCUCCAAUGGAAGGCCAUAAUCCAUGCACAAAACCACUUCUGUGAGUGAGACCAAAUCCCACGAGCGUGUCAAAAUGGCUCUUAGAAGCCAAACGUUGCAACCCCUAAUAACUACUUCUGUGAUCCUAAUUCCCUUGAAACUGUCCUACCUCUCACUUUUGCUGAGGCAAAGCUGCUAAAAGCAAUCAAAGACAGGGCUGUAUCUUUUGUAUGUUCCCAUCAACAUUUAGUGGUUGCUUAGGAAAGAGUCGUAUAAUUAAACUGCUGAUGUUCUGCCUACAUCAGUCACAGGCUACAGCCCGUGACGUCAUUCAUUGGAAAUCUCAAAGGCGAAAGGCAUACUGCACUGGUAUGUGUAAGCAUGGCCUGGCUGGCACUGAAACCCUGCAGGCUACAAUUCACCUCACCCAGUUGACUUAGAACAAAGGCUACCCACAAAACCAAACUUUGAGAUCCCAAGGUCUCACAUACCACUUUUUUUUUCCCUACAAAGGUCACUGGAACAAAUACACCCAACUGGGACCAUCAAGAAGGAUCCAAUAAUAGUGACUAUAUAAUUGAAAAUAAUAAUAGAAAUAAUGUUAGGCCC
ensembl:lincRNA